rnacentral:tRNA from 1 species
GGUGCCAUCCUCGACUGGCGGGGCCCCGCUUUGAUGCAGUGGGUGAGGUGGUUCGACUCCAUCUGGCGCCU